GAUGAACGCUGGCGGCGUGCCUAAUACAUGCAAGUCGAGCGAACAGACGAGGAGCUUACUCCUCUGACGUUAGCGGCGGACGGGUGAGUAACACGUGGAUAACCUACCUAUAAGACUGGGAUAACUUCGGGAAACCGGAGCUAAUACCGGAUAACAUGUUGAACCGCAUGGUUCAACAGUGAAAGACGGUCUUGCUGUCACUUAUAGAUGGAUCCGCGUCGCAUUAGCUAGUUGGUAAGGUAACGGCUUACCAAGGCAACGAUGCGUAGCCGACCUGAGAGGGUGAUCGGCCACACUGGAACUGAGACACGGUCCAGAAUCCGACGGGAGGCAGCAGUAGGGAAUCUUCCGCAAUGGGCGAAAGCCUGACGGAGCAACGCCGCGUGAGUGAAGAAGGUCUUCGGAUCGUAAAACUCGGUUAUUAGGGAAGAACAAAUGUGUAAGUAACUAUGCACGUCUUGACGGUACCUAAGCAGAAAGCCACGGCUAACUACGU
rnacentral:rRNA from 1 species